CAAUGAAGCAUGCCUACAUGAUCCAGAAAACAGCCUCAAAAGAGCAAAUCUAAGAGUCAUUGCCCUUAAAGUGGAGGUAAUAAGACAGCCAAGUGUAAAGGGGUUCCCAGAAAAACUCCAACCUGCCUGUGCACUGAGAGUGCACACUAGGGUGGAGCCACAGAAGUUCUCACAAUUUGCACGUGGGGAGAGGCCUGGCCCCUCCUCUUCCUGGGUGGAACCUAGAAUUCAAUCUGCAAGGUGGGAAGCACAUACUAGCAGGACUCUCACUCUGCUGAGGAUCCCUGUUUUCCCUCUUUUUUCUUUUUGCCCAGUAAAUUCCAUUUUUCUCACCUUUCAAAGUGUCUGCGAGCCUAAUAUUUCAUGGCUUUGUGACAAGGAUCCUGUCUUUAGCUGAGCUAAGGAGAAAGUCCUACAACAGUAGAGAAAAAUAUGAGAAAGUUUAUUCAAAGGAAUAAUAACAGAGAACUUCCCAAACCUAGAAAAAGAUAUCAAUAUCCAAGUAUAAGAAGGUUGUAGAACACCAAGCAGAAAUAACCCAAAGAAGGCUAUCUCAAGACAUUUAAUAAUCAAACUCUCAAACCUGAAGGAUAAAGAACGGAUUCUGAAAGCAGCAAGAGAAAAGAAACAAGUAACAUACGAUGGAGCUCCAAUACAUCUGACAGCAGGCUUUUCAGCAGAUAUCUUACAGGCCAGGAAAGAGUGGCAUGACAUAUUUAAAGUGCUGAAGGCAAACAACAUUUACCUACAAUAGUAUGUCUGGCAAAAACUGGAGAGCAUUAUAUUAUGUGAAAUAAGCCAGGCACAGAAGGACAAACAUCACAUGUUCUCACUUAUUUGUGGAAUCCAAAAAUCCAAACAAUCAAACUCCUGGAGAUAGAGAGUACUAGGAUGAUUACCAGAGGCUAGAAUGGGUAGUGGUCGGGGAGGAUGUGGGGGAAAAUGCAGAUAUUAAUAGGUACAAAAAAUAGUUAGAAGAAUGAAUAAGACCUAGUAUUUGAUAGCACAACAGGGUGACUAUAGUCAAGAAUAACUUAAUUGUACAUUUUUAAAUAGCUGAAAGAGUACAACUGGAUAGUUUGUAAUACACAGAGUAAGUGUUUGAGGGGAUGGAUACCCCAUUAUUCAUAAUGUACAUAUUUCACAUUGUAUGCCUAUAUCAAAACAUCUCAUGUACCCCAUAAAUAUAUAGACUUACUAUGCAUCCACAACAAAUACAAAUAAAAAAAUAAAAUUCUUGCAGACAUGAAGGGGCUUAGUACAUAUUAAUUUAAUAAUGAUUAUGUCUUAAUGCUUAUUACUGCCUAUUGAAUAUCCAGGGAAAGCAAAUCAUAUGAAGCUAACAAAUUUGAAAAACUCAGUUUCAAGAAGAAUGUAUUUUCAAAAGGCCUACCCUCACUUAUAGUUUCAGAGGUUUCUCCAUACCCUGGAAAUUUGUGUUUAACUGCCAUUCUUAAACAGUAGUCCUCAUUCUUUCAUUCUCUUCCUGGUGUUCUGGCAGCAUACUUAUUUUUAAUCCUUGAGCCCACUACCCCUUUACUUAUGUCUUUAUGCCAUAAAGCAUUUAAAGCAACAUGAACGUUGCUUUAAUUUUAUGAAUUAAGAUGUUCGUAGCUGCAACAAAGGAAACCUAACUCAUUUUUAAAAGGUUUCUUCUCACAGUCAAGAAGACCCCAGGUAAUGAGAUUCCACAUUGCUUAAUUCAGCAAAUUCACAUCAUACAUGCCCUGAUAUUUUAAAUAUUCUGCUGUCCCAUCCUUAACUUGCCAGCUUGUCCUUAAUUUAGUCUCCUUAAACUGCAGGAUAGAUGCUGUGAUUCCAAGUGUCUCAUGUGGACGUGACAACAUACAAUGGAAGAAGAUAAACUAUAUCUCUUUUUAACAGUGGGUGAAAUUUUCCCAGAAGCCCUCCCUCUCAGGGGAUAUUUCUUCAAUUCUCAUCUGCUAUAAUUGGAUAAAAUAUUUCUGCCUAGAUAAAUUCCUGGCAAGGAGAAUGGGACUGCCAUAAUUGACUUAAUCCAAAUAUAGAUUAUCUUCUGAAGCGGAGAAUGGUUUCCUCUGCCCUUUUUAUGAAGCAUGUGGUCACAUGGAGGAAGUUGGCAAAUUGAAAAAAAUAUAUAUUGGGAGAAAACACCUGAAAAUUACAUAUCUGAUAAAGGAUAUGCAACCAGAAUCCAUAGAGAACUCUCAAAACUCGAUAAUAAGAAAAUAGAAAAUGCAAAUUUUAAAAUGGACAUAUGAUUUUUAUAGAUACUUCACCAAAGAAGGCACACAAGUGGCUAAUAAGCAUAGAAAAACCUCAAACAUCAUUAUUCAUCAAGAAAAUGCACAUAAAAACCACAAUAAGAUACCCCUGCACAUCUAUAAGAAUGGAAAUUUUUGGUAAAACUGUCUGCAACAAGGUUGGAGAAGAUAUAAAGCAUCUGAACUCUCUUAUAUAAUGCUAGAAGAAAACAGAAAAUGGCACAAUUAUUUUAGAAAAGUUUGGCAACCUUGUUAAAAGCUAAACAUAAACCAACUGUAUUAUCCAUACUCAGUGUUUACCCAGGAAAAAAGAAAACAUACUCCACACAAAAACUUGCACAGGAUCCACAGCAGCUCCAUUUGUAAAUCCCAACUGGAAGCCCCUCAAAUGUCCAUCAAUAGAUGAAUAUGUAAAUAAAGUGUGGUGCACUCAUACAAGGGGAUACUACUAAGCCAUAAACACAAAUGAACGGUUGAUAUAUGCAAAAAAAUGGAUAAAUUUCAAAAUGAUCAUGCUAAGGAAAGAAGACACAAGGCUACAAACUGAUCCCAUUUAUAUAAAAUUCUGCAAUCUAUGCUGACAGAAAGAUCAGUGCCUGCCUGGUAACAGGAGCUAGGGAAUGUGAAAGGGGCAAGAAAGGAAAAAAGUUUCUAAGUUGGCUACACCAAAUGCACUAUGUUGGAAAGAAAAGGAAUCAUUAAAUUAUAAUUAUGAAAGAAACACUACUGAG
rnacentral:lncRNA from 1 species